CAGAGUGUAGCAAAGACAGUAAAGCAUCUCCCUUACACCGAGAAGUCAUUCGUGCAAAUCGAAUUACCCUGAC
rnacentral:tRNA from 1 species